UCUCUUCCAGUACCUAUGGGGCAUGUUAGAAACAUUAGUAGCAUUUAUUAGGGGGAACCUUUCCCAUUAGCUAAAGCGAGGGCUAGUGUUGACAGCCAAUAUUCAGUGAACCACAGGGGCUUGCUGGUGAAGGUCAGAGGCUGUCUGCCCACCUGGCAGUGGCUGGCAUUGUUAUAUGCUAAAUCAGGAUUAUAUUUCUGACACUUGGCUAAAGGAUCCUGUAAGAGCUGCUCUGUUUAGAAUAAUAAUAAAAGCAAUGAAGAUUCUCGAACAAUGAGUACCUUCUCUGUGCCAGCUAAUAUGAUGAAGCAACCAAAGUGUCCAUCAGCAGAUGAAUGUGAAAGGAAAUGUGGCAUGCCUUAUAUACAACGGAAUACUAUUCAACCUUUAAAAAGAAGAACAUUCUGUCAUCUGCUACAACAUGGAUAAACCUGGAGGACACUAUGCUAAGUGAAAUAAGACGGUCACUGAAAGACAAAUACCACAUGAUCUCACCUGUGGACAGAAUCUAAAAAAGUCAUAAUCAUAGACAUGGAGAGUAGAAUGGUGGUUAUCAGAGGCUGCCUGGGGCAGGGAGGGGAUGGAGAAAGGAGGGUGUUGAUCAAAAGAGACAACGUUUCAUCUAGACAGCAGGAGUAAGUUUUAGUGAUCUAUUUCACAGAAUAGUGACUAUAAUAAAUAAUAAUGCAUUGCAUAUUCACAUUGCUUAAAUAUUAGGUUUUAGAUGUUCUCACUACCAAAAAUUGAUAUGUGAGGUGAUGAGUAUGUUAAUUCACUUGAUUUAAUCAUCUCACAAUGUAAACAUAUAUCAAAACAUUACAUUAAACACCAUAGAUACCUAUAAUUGUUAUGAUUUGCCAAUUAAAAAUAAAAUAAAAUUUUAAAGAUAAAAUAUGAAUUUUCAAGAAGAUUCAAGAACAGGUAUAAUGGAUAGGAGCAACUUUUCAAUAUUUAACCAUCUUCCAAAAUUGAGAACUUCAUAAAAGUAUUCCUUUCAUUGCCUUCAUCUGACAUGUUUCUUUUUAUUAAGAUCAAUGAUUUGACAGAGAAAUAUGACUGAGAUACAAAAUCUGAGAUAGCAGAUCUCAAAUUGCUACACUGAGAAAUCAGCUACAGUAGAAUGAGAAUUUCUUUCUAGAGAGGUAAAAGAGGAGAAAGAAGAAAUUUCAGAGGCUGUAUUUACAUGGGUAAAAUAAAGUAGAAGGUUAAAAUAGUCAUCAGGGAAUCUAGUCUCUCUGAAAUGGUAUCUCAGUCAUUUUUCUUUAUACAGAAAUAUAUUUCAACCAGGAAGAACUUCUUAAGUAGAAACAUUCCUAUAAUCUUCUUUAUUUCCAUCUAUCUAAUAAAAUUUGUCAGACACCUUAAAAAUAAAAUGGAAGAAAAUUUUCUUUUAGGCAGUUCACAUUAUGACUGCAUUCAACAAGCAGAUUUAAAAAAUACAAUUAAUAUGGUUAUUUCUUUAAAGGUCACAAGUUUGUGUCAUGUAGACCAAUGAUUUAGAUAGCUGGGAAAUACUCCAUUUUUAUUAAGAUGUUUCUACCAUAUUGAAAUAAUUGGCGCCUCAUUUGUAGUUCAGUCAACUGGGUUUAAAGGUAAAAUUGAAAGCCACUUAAGCAUUCUUUAAAAGUCCCAAUGACUUUCUUGUACCACAGGGGACAAGCUAUACAAAUAUUUCCAACAUUGAUCUUAAUAGAAAAUGCAUUUUUUCUCAGACAUGUGGGUAAUUCCACACUACACAGAAUAGAAUGUGUGAAUGUGUUGCGUAUUGUGGGUAUGUUAAUCACAGAGAACACUUACAAAGUCACUUUUGAUUUGCCUUUCUUGUCAUUAUAAAAUAUUUGUUUUCCCUGUAAAAACAGCAUACAGAAAUAUAAAAAGAAAUCAAAAAUCACUUAUAACCCCUCAUCCUCCACCACCCACUGAUAUUCACCUGUUGUUUCUCCAGAGAGGUGGAAAAUACUAGUGUUGAGUUUGAGUUUUAAUGCCUUGGGAAGACUGGAGAUAGAGCCUUGAAUGUCCAAGAGAAGGGAGGCUUGAGUAGAAAUCUUCUAUUAAAGUCUAGAUCCUCAAGAGAUUUUAUGCUAAUGGUAAAAUUUUAAAAAGAAACUGUGCAGGAAUCUUGUAUGUUUUUAUCUGGGUUCUGGAAAUGGAGCCUCCGCUGAAGAUAAUAAAAAUCCUGGGCUA
ensembl:lncRNA